rnacentral:rRNA from 1 species
UACAGAGGUCCCAAGCGUUGUUCGGAUUCACUGGGCGUAAAGAGCUCGUAGGCGGUCUGUCGCGUCGGCUGUGAAAUCUCGGGGCUCAACCCCGAGCCUGCAGUCGAUACGGGCAGACUAGAGUGCUGUAGGGGAGACUGGAAUUCCUGGUGUAGCGGUGAAAUGCGCAGAUAUCAGGAGGAACACCGGUGGCGAAGGCGGGUCUCUGGGCAGUAACUGACGCUGAGGAGCGAAAGCGUGGGGAGCGAACAGG